GCUGCCCCUCCCCCGCAGCCGUCUCCCACCAGCGCUCUGCUAGGUUUUCCCCUGGCUCGGGGCUCCCCCCCUAGCCGAAUAUAGAGCUCCAGAGCCACGUGGACCCAAGCGGGCUCGGCCGAGGCCCGGCCGGGGAAACGCCGGAGGCUGCACGGACCGAGUCGCCUCCCCAAGAGGGGCGCUGCGGGGACAGCUCCGCUCCACCUUGCUCUGCGGCCUCCGCCCGCAAACCGGCAAGGCUAGGGAAGGGCGUCCAGUUUGCGCAGGGCCUCGUGGGGUCAGCCCUAGGGAGGAGGCGGAGGGCGCCCACCACCAAGAGGACGCGGCGGUGCCCUGAGGAGCCCCAGUCGGGUGCAAGCUCGACUGCCUGCCUUCUUUACUUCCUCCCGGAUUCCGAAGCCUCAACGUGGUGUAGAGAAAGGGGACCCCAGGUAGGGGCUGGCCCCGAGGUGGCCUGGGGCUGGGGCUUCCAGAACCAGGCCCUCUUAGGGAUGAGAGAGGGUGCCCUUUGGCCUCCCUAGAAGCACCUCCUGGACUUUGCUCUCACCGAGAUGUGCGGCAGGUAUUCAACGCUCUCUCGGUAUUUCUCCGAAAUGCUUUCGCGUCGGGGAGGAGGGAAGCCGGAGUGUCCCUAGGAGCAUCAACUACUGUUCUCUCCCAGGCUGCCUCUUCCCACCUCUUCUAACAGGGAGUCCCAGGCUCCGCACCUGAACGUGUGGCUCCGGGCAUCUUCCAGCUCCCGAAAUACAAGAGUGAUCUUCCUGCUGCCCUCAGGGACAAGGGCCUGCAGCGCCCCGUGGCUUUGCAUGAUGAGAUAACCAGUGCUUUCGCCUUCUGAUUUGACUCAGCGUGCUGCAGAGACCAGGUCAAGUCUCUCUCCCCACUGAUGGCAGCACCCAUCACACGCCUGUCACAUGGUCCAUGCUCAGUAAAGGGCUCCUGGAUGAAUUAAUAAGGCAGUGUUGUUUAUUGCAAGAUCAAAUUAUAUAAUGUGCAGGAAAGCAUUUUGAAAAGUACUGUAGGAAAUGCUGUAGUAGUCCAGUACUGUACUCCUAUCCUGGUAGCAUCUGGAGAGGACCUGACCGGGCAAGUCAGUGGCCCCAGGUCAUCCAGCUGGUCUGCCUUUUGGCCAAGGACCAGUCAGCCUCUUGCUUCAGCCUGUGGGUCUUGGCAGUUCCCCUCAGUGACUCCGCAGCAAGAGGGAAACCUAACUGAGUGACUCCGUGGUGAGACACGCAUAAAUCAUCACCAUGUCUAUAUAAAGAUACGCACAUCAGACACAUCUUUUCCCAGAUGGCUGACGGGCUUUUUCCUACCCUCUUCCUUCCCAUUGCAGUGCGUGUCUCGGGAGGUAGGAGAGAGGGCCUGUCCCCUUCUCCUUUUUUUUUUUUUCUUUAGCGUUGUGACAUUCCAGGAAAGCAGUACUUCUUCUGCCUCCCCUGGACCGUUUUCAGGAGCCCAGAUCUGGGGGCUAAGUGUCAGGAAUGUGUGCACACGAGAGUGUCCCUCCUCGUCCCCUUGAGUACGUCCCCACACACGCCCAGCCGGAGGACAACUGGUAUUAGUCAUUACUGGGGGUGUCUGCACACUGAGUUCCCUUGGGGAGCCCCGACUUUGACGUAAUGUGCACCAUCCCCCCAUGCUUUUGGAGCAACAGCAGAGCUCUCAGGAACAAUGGUUAAGGAAAUUGAUCUCAUCCCGCCCCACCCCCGCCCCUGGCACAUCCCAGUGGAAAGGUCCGAGUGGGUUCUGGUGC